ACGCACGCUGGCGGCGUGCUUAACACAUGCCAGUCGCACGGAAAGGCCCUGCUUUUGUGGGGUGCUCGAGUGGCGAACGGGUGAGUAACACGUGAGUAACCUGCCCUUGACUUUGGGAUAACUUCAGGAAACUGGGGCUAAUACCGGAUAGGAGCUCCUGCUGCAUGGUGGGGGUUGGAAAGUUUCGGCGGUUGGGGAUGGACUCGCGGCUUAUCAGCUUGUUGGUGGGGUAGUGGCUUACCAAGGCUUUGACGGGUAGCCGGCCUGAGAGGGUGACCGGCCACAUUGGGACUGAGAUACGGCCCAGACUCCUACGGGAGGCAGCAGUGGGGAAUAUUGCACAAUGGGCGGAAGCCUGAUGCAGCAACGCCGCGUGCGGGAUGACGGCCUUCGGGUUGUAAACCGCUUUCGCCUGUGACGAAGCGUGAGUGACGGUAAUGGGGAAAGAAGCACCGGCUAACUACGU
rnacentral:rRNA from 1 species